rnacentral:rRNA from 1 species
GCGCAGCCUACCAUAGCAGUCGAGCGGUAGCACAGAGAGCUUGCUCUCGGGUGACGAGCGGCGGACGGGUGAGUAAUGUCUGGGAAACUGCCUGAUGGAGGGGGAUAACUACUGGAAACGGUAGCUAAUACCGCAUAAUGUCGCAAGACCAAAGUGGGGGACCUUCGGGCCUCAUGCCAUCAGAUGUGCCCAGAUGGGAUUAGCUAGUAGGUGGGGUAACGGCUCACCUAGGCGACGAUCCCUAGCUGGUCUGAGAGGAUGACCAGCCACACUGGAACUGAGACACGGUCCAGACUCCUACGGGAGGCAGCAGUGGGGAAUAUUGCACAAUGGGCGCAAGCCUGAUGCAGCCAUGCCGCGUGUAUGAAGAAGGCCUUCGGGUUGUAAAGUACUUUCAGCGGGGAGGAAGGCGAUAAGGUUAAUAACCUUGUCGAUUGACGUUACCCGCAGAAGAAGCACCGGCUAACUCCGUGCCAGCAGCCGCGGUAAUACGGAGGGUGCAAGCGUUAAUCGGAAUUACUGGGCGUAAAGCGCACGCAGGCGGUCUGUCAAGUCGGAUGUGAAAUCCCCGGGCUCAACCUGGGAACUGCAUUCGAAACUGGCAGGCUAGAGUCUUGUAGAGGGGGGGUAGAAUUCCAGGUGUAGCGGUGAAAUGCGUAGAGAUCUGGAGGAAUACCGGUGGCGAAGGCGGCCCCCUGGACAAAGACUGACGCUCAGGUGCGAAAGCGUGGGGAGCAAACAGGAUUAGAUACCCUGGUAGUCCACGCCGUAAACGAUGUCGAUUUGGGAGGUUGUGCCCUUGAGGCGUGGCUUCCGGAGCUAACGCGUUAAAUCGACCGCCUGGGGGAGUACGGCCGCAAGGUUAAAACUCAAAUGAAUUGACGGGGGCCCGCACAAGCGGUGGAGCAUGGGGGUUUAAUUCGAUGCAACGCGAAGAACCUUACCUGGUCUUGACAUCCACAGAACUUGCCAGAAAAUGCUUUGGUGCCUUCGGGAACUGUGAGACAGGUGCUGCAUGGCUGUCGUCAGCUCGUGGUUGUGAAAUGGUUGGGGUUAAGUCCCCGCAACGAAGCGCAACCCUUUAUCCUUUUGUUGCCAGCGGUUCAGGCCGGGAACUCAAAGGAGACUGCCAUUGAUAAACUGGAGGGAAAAGGGGGGGGAUGAACUUCAAGUCAUCUUGGGCCCUUUACGACCAGGGGUUACCACCUUGGUUAAAAUGGCCUAUUUACAAAAAGGAAAGCGACCCUUCGGGAGGACAACGGGACCUCCUAAA